rnacentral:rRNA from 1 species
GUGGGGAAUAUUGGACAAUGGGCGAAAGCCUGAUCCAGCCAUGCCGCGUGUGUGAAGAAGGUCUUCGGAUUGUAAAGCACUUUAAGUUGGGAGGAAGGGCAGUAAGUUAAUACCUUGCUGUUUUUACGUUACCGACAGAAUAAGCACCGGCUAACUUCGUGCCAGCAGCCGCGGUAAUACGAAGGGUUCAAGCGUUAAUCGGAAUUACUGGGCGUAAAGCGCGCGUAGGUGGUUUUGUAAGUUGGAGGUGAAAUCGUCGGGCUCAACCUGGGAACUGCCUCAGAAACUGCAUGACUAGAGUAAGGGAGAGGGUAGUGGAAUUUCCUGUGUAGCGGUGAAAUGCGUAGAUAUAGAGAGGAACACCAGUGGCGAAGGCGACUACCUGGACUGAUACUGACACUGAGGUGCGAAAGCGUGGGGAGCAAACAGGAUUAGAUACCCGAGUAGUCC